AACGUACAAAAUCAGCAGGGGAUCAAAUACUUUUUUCCCCUCACUGUACACCGUAUGUAUGCCCGGCACAGGCCGUUCUGAAGCAAAUUGUCGUCCGAUUCCUGGAGAAGCUCUCCUGUACCAAACGGCAAAGUGUCAACGUCCUUCCCUUUGGCCAAGCAGUUCUGUAUGCUGGUUCAGACAGUCAUUGACAGAUCCCACAGCGUGUUCACUGAGGAGCUGGAGAAGUGUACUGACUCUGACAGUAAGAGCUACUGGGCUGAAGUGUUCUACUGGGAGUACCUGAAGUGUGUUAACUAUCACCCCAGGGGUCUGGGGAUUGAAGCCUUCUCUGGGGAUGAGGAGAGAUGUUUAAUGGUGGCCAACAUGAUGGUCGAGAAACAUCUGGCUGACGUCGAGCCCCAGCUGUGACACUUCGAUCUGAACCUGUCCAGUAAGGGACAGAAGGAGAAGCAAGGUGAAUACUCCGAUUGAAUCGAACACCAGCUCCAAAGACCAUUGAGUCUGUUGUGCGCGUGAAUACUCCUGGGUCAACUAACCUGCUGACAACACCACCUGAGACUCCUGGGUCAACUCCACUGAGCACGACCUCUAUACACUGAGAAAUGAAUGAGGUAACAGCUGACCUCCAGUCAGGAGAUGUGGUCAAGCUGAAGAAGAGCAGUGUCGAUCGUUUCCUCCGUAGACUUCUGUGCUGCUGCAUCUAGUAAAAGAUUUAGUGAACCUGACCUUUUCUUCACCUGCUUUUCACAUGCCCUGCUCACCCCGCGCAUCUCAGUUUAGAUGGGAAUUUUUUUGUGUGUUUUAGAAUUUGACUGAUUACUGUAGCGCCACCUAGGGGCCAAUCAAUGCCACUUUUGGCAUGCCAGUUACUCUUUCAGGGUUCUGCCAUCAUGCCAUAUGUUACAACCUUUUACUAAUUGGUUGUUUAGUUAUUGUCUGAAAAUAAAGAAAUAACUGAAUAAUCGGAACACUAACAAAAAAUAGGACUUCAUGCACUUUUGCUGCUAGGAGCCCUAAAAGAAAAACUAUGUUUAGAUAAGAUUGAAUACAUUAAAUACAUUGCAGUGUUUUCAUUCGUUUUUUUUUUUUUUAAAUACAGCAUUGAUAAAUGGAUUGAUUAAUAAUGGUCCAACAACACUUUGAAUGUGUGUUUAGAUUGAGUUUGUUGGCCAGUCUUUCCAUGAAUUUGUAUUUCUUCAGUUCACCAGAAGAGGGCAGUCAUGUCUAACAUUUAAACCUAUAAAAUACUAUGACCUGACAUUUGAAUUCAUACUUCUAAAACAAGCCUGUUUGUCUUGACUGUAGUUGUUUAAAUAGGUCUUAGUCUGUGUGGCUUUCAUUCAUUGUCAUGUAUUCUUAAAAAUUUAACACAACAUUAUUCCCAAACAGGCUACAAACCAAUUUCAAACUUUCUUCUGUAUGUGGCUAAGCUUUGAAUAGGACGGAGAGAUGAGUAAGAAUGAGGCAUGUAUUUAAUUAUUACGUUUGUUUGUGGUUGUGACCCUUUUUGGAGAUCUCUGAGACAUCAUACUGUCGGCAUAUUUCCAUCUCUUCUUAUAUCGGCCUCUUAUUUCGGCGCUUUACAUAAGACAUUUCUCAAUUUCAAACACUAUGGCUGCUAUCAUGAUUUAAGUUUAUGGAGAGAAUUGAACUGUUUUCUUGCUUUUCCAAUCACUUAAUGACUGUUGCAUUAUGACAACACAAACCACAUAUAUUUUUAAUAUUUACUGUGCCCUCAAUUAAAGGUGUGCAUUACCUCUGAUGCUGCCACUACA